rnacentral:rRNA from 1 species
UGAAUACGAAAUGCUACGGCAUUGAAGUGAUCUAUGCCAUGCUUCCAAGAAAAUCUCGUCAUAUCUUAAACAAUAGAUGCCUGUACCUUAAACCGACACAGGUAGGUAGGUAGAGUAUACCAAGGGGCGCGAGAUAACUCUCUCUAAGGAACUCGGCAAAAUAACCUCGUAACUUCGGAAGAAGAGGUACCCUUGAAAAAGGGUUGCAAUAACCAGACCCUGGCGACUGUUUACCAAAAACACAGGUCUCCGCUAAUUCGUAAGAUCAAGUAUGGAGGCUGACGCCUGCCCAGUGCCGGAAGGUUAAAGAAGUUGGUCAAUCUUUGGAUGAAGCUGGCGACUGAAGCCCCGGUGAACGGCGGCCGUAACGAUAACGGUCCUAAGGUAGCGAAGUUCCUUGUCGGGUAAGUUCCGACCCGCACGAAAGGCGUAACGAUCAGGGUGCUGUCUCGGAGAGAGACUCGGCGAAAUAGACAUGUCUGUGAAGAUGCGGACUACCUGCACCUGGACAGAAAGACCCUAUGAAGCUUUACUGUAUCUUGGAAUUGGGUUUGGGCCUUGCUUGCGCAGGAUAGGUGGGCUAUGAAAAUAUUCUUGCGGGAAUGUUGGAGCCAACGGUGAGAUACCACUCUAGUAAGGCUAAAAUUCUAACUCUGAACCGUUAUCCGGUCAGAGAACAGUUUCAGGUGGGCAGUUUGACAGGGGCGGUCGCCUCCUAAAAGGUAACGGAGGCGCGCAAAGGUUCCCUCAGGCUGGUUGGACAUCAGUCGUAGAGUGUAAAGGCAUAAGGGAGCUUGACUGCGAGACCCACAAGUCGAGCAGAGACGAAAGUCGGCCUUGGUGAUCCGACGGUUCCACGUGGAAGGGCCGUCGCUCAACGGAUAAAAGUUACUCUAGGAUAACAGGCUGAUCUCCCCCAAGAGUUCACAUCGACGGGGAGGUUUGGCACCUCGAUGUCGGCUCAUCGCAUCCUGGUGCGGUAGUACGUCCCAAGGGUUGGGCUGUUCGCCCAUGAAAGCGGUACGCGAGCUGGGUUCAGAACGUCGUGAGACAGUUCGGUCCAUAUCCGGUGCAGGCGUUAGAGCAUUGAAAGGAGUCCCCCUUAGUACGAGAGGACCGGGGGGAAUACACCGCUGGUGUACCAGUUAUCGUGCCAACGGUAAACGCUGGGUAGCCAUGUGUAGCGUGGAUAACUGCUGAAAGCAUCUAAGUAGGAAGCCCACCUUAAGAUGAGUGCUCUCACCGCUAUAAGCGGGUAAGGUCACGGUAAGAACAACCGUUAUAUAGGCAUUAAGUAUACGUGCAGUAAUGCAUUUAGCUAAGAUGUACUAACAGACCGAGGGCUUGAU